AUACAGGGUGACAGCCCCGUACACAAAAGCGCAUGUGCUGUGAGCUCGAUGAGUAGGGCGGGACACGUGGUAUCCUGUCUGAAUAUGGGGGGACCAUCCUCCAAGGCUAAAUACUCCUGACUGACCGAUAGUGAACCAGUACCGUGAGGGAAAGGCGAAAAGAACCCCGGCGAGGGGAGUGAAAAAGAACCUGAAACCGUGUACGUACAAGCAGUGGGAGCACCCUUUGGGGUGUGACUGCGUACCUUUUGUAUAAUGGGUCAGCGACUUAUAUUCUGUAGCAAGGUUAACCGAAUAGGGGAGCCGGAGGGAAACCGAGUCUUAAUUGGGCGUUAAGUUGCAGGGUAUAGACCCGAAACCCGGUGAUCUAGCCAUGGGCAGGUUGAAGGUUGGGUAACACUAACUGGAGGACCGAACCGACUAAUGUUGAAAAAUUAGCGGAUGACCUGUGGCUGGGGGUGAAAGGCCAAUCAAACCGGGAGAUAGCUGGUUCUCCCCGAAAGCUAUUUAGGUAGCGCCUCGUGAAUUCAUCUCCGGGGGUAGAGCACUGUUUCGGCUAGGGGGCCAUCCCGGCUUACCAACCCGAUGCAAACUGCGAAUACCGGAGAAUGUUAUCACGGGAGACACACGGCGGGUGCUAACGUCCGUCGUGAAGAGGGAAACAACCCAGACCGCCAGCUAAGGUCCCAAAGUCAUGGUUAAGUGGGAAACGAUGUGGGAAGGCCCAGACAGCCAGGAUGUUGGCUUAGAAGCAGCCAUCAUUUAAAGAAAGCGUAAUAGCUCACUGGUCGAGUCGGCCUGCGCGGAAGAUGUAACGGGGCUAAACCAUGCACCGAAGCUGCGGCAGCGACGCUGAUGCGUUGUUGGGUAGGGGAGCGUUCUGUAAGCCUGUGAAGGUGGCCUGUGAGGGUUGCUGGAGGUAUCAGAAGUGCGAAUGCUGACAUAAGUAACGAUAAAGCGGGUGAAAAGCCCGCUCGCCGGAAGACCAAGGGUUCCUGUCCAACGUUAAUCGGGGCAGGGUGAGUCGACCCCUAAGGCGAGGCCGAAAGGCGUAGUCGAUGGGAAACGGGUUAAUAUUCCCGUACUUGGUGUUACUGCGAAGGGGGGACGGAGAAGGCUAUGUUGGCCGGGCGACGGUU
rnacentral:rRNA from 1 species